rnacentral:rRNA from 1 species
UGGGGAAUAUUGCACAAUGGAGGGAACUCUGAUGCAGCGACGCCGCGUGAACGAAGAAGGCUUUCGAGUCGUAAAGUUCUUUUAUAUGGGAAGAUAAUGACGGUACCAUAAGAAAAAGCCCCGGCUAACUACGUGCCAGCAGCCGCGGUAAUACGUAGGGGGCUAGCGUUGUCCGGAAUCACUGGGCGUAAAGGGUUCGCAGGCGGAAAUGCAAGUCAGGUGUAAAAGGCAGUAGCUUAACGGUGGGUUUGCGCCGGGUACGGGCGGGCUAGAGUGCAGUAGGGGAGACUGGAAUUCCCGGUGUAACGAUGGAAUGUGUAGAUAUCGGGAAGAACACCAAUGGCGAAGGCAGGUCUCUGGGCUGUUACUGACGCUGAGAAGCGAAAGCGUGGGGAGCGAACAGG